ACAUAGCAAACUGCUAUAAAGUUAUUGCACUAAUUCAUCAUGCUCUAGGAGACAGUAAACUAGCAAUAUCAUAUCAGCACAAAACUGUCAUUAUGUAUGAGAGACUGCUAGGAGUUGACCACUGCAGCUCUAUAUCAGCCUAUUUCCAUUUGGCUUAGUAUUGCUGUGUGGCUGAGAGGAAUGUUGUGGCGUUGAGAUUGCUGUAUAGAGUUAGGUAUCUAAUAAUGUUAACACAUGGUGAGGAUCAUCCUGAAAUGUCUAAUGUUGAUUUUUACAUUGGUUUACUACUGAGUAUUGCUUGUCAUUAUGAAGA